rnacentral:lncRNA from 1 species
CACAAAACCUUCUAACAGUCUUCUUAAUUCUUUCUUUACUUUCAUUUUCUUGACCUCUUUUAACACAAUUCUUGAUUGGAGUUUCCAUUUCAGAAAGCUAGCAGAUACCCAAGAAUCAUGAGUCAGUCAGUCAGCAACAGCAGCGGGAAGAAGCAGAUUAGAAUUGAUAUCAGCUCAGACACUAUAUGCAUUUGGUGCUUUGUUGGCAAACGAAAUUUAGAUAAAGCCAUAGCUACUGCUAAAGACAGAUUUGAUUUUGAGGUCUCUCAAUUCUACCUUUUCUCAUUAAGUUAUAUUCUAAUAUAUUUUUCAUUUCGAACUCAGACAAGUUCUAAUUUGCAGAUUAGAUGGCAUCCGUUUCUUAUUGAUCCAUCUGCCCCGAAAGAAGGCACAAAGCUUAUGCCUCUUUUCCAGCAAAGAUUUGGGUCUCGAACUGAUGCAGUUCUAAAUCAACUCAGAGAGGUUAAUUAUCUUCUUCAUUUGAUAAUUAUCUAUGCAAUAAUGGCCUUGGAGUUUGACUUUUAUUUAAUUAACCUAUUAUGAUAAUUGCGUUCAGGCUCUUAGAGGUGUUGGUCUGGAAUUCAACAUAUGUGAGCUCUUGUAAGUUCUUUUUUGUAAUUCAGCUUUAUAAAAAAUGUGCUAAGGGGUUUAUUUGAUGAAUUAACAUGGUUUUGGUGAUGCACAGUGGGAAUUCCUUAGAAAGCCAUAGGCUUAUACAUUUUGCUGGCCAGCAAGGUCUUGACAAGCAACAUAAUCUUGCAGAGGAAUUAUUCCUUGGUUACUUCACAAAGGCUAAAUACAUUGGCGACAGGUAAAUAGUUAAACUUUUUUGUCAUUCAAUCUUGUGAUCUAAUUGGUUUUCUCAUUAAUACGGAGGGUGGGAAGUAUCGAGUUUGAGUUCUCUUCAAUCCCAUAACGGCGAAUACGGUAACAUUAAUGAAUUGAUGCAGGGAAUUUCUCUUGGAAUGUGCUGAAAAAUUUGGAGUAGAGGGGGCUGCAGAAUUCCUUCAAGAUCCAAAUCAUGGUGUGAAGGAGGUAUAUGAGGACCUCCACAAGUACUCAGCAGGCCUCACAGGAGUCCCAAACUAUGUGGUAUGCAAUAAAAUACCCAUUAUUUAUAUUUUUAUUGUUUAAUCAUUAUAAUAAUCCAUAUUAAUUUUUUCUUUUUCUUCCUCUGAAUAGAUCAAUGGAAAGAAGAAGUUGAAUGGAGCCCAGCCUCCAGAGGUUUUCCUCAGAGCUUUUGAAGCUGCAGCAAAUUAAUAGUUUACAUUAUAUAAGCUGGAAGAGGCAACAAUAAAUCAAGAGUUCAACUUUCCCUCAUGCAUUUGUGUAAUGUUUUAUUAUUUUUAAUUAUUUUUCUUGUGUAAUAUUGGAACAUAACUGUCAUAUGCAUUUUUCCUGCAGUGGAUAUGUUCAAAUUGGAAUGGUUUGAGGAUUUGUGUGGAAAUUUAAAAAUAUAUUUCUUCUUUCAAUAUAACUUUCUGAUCUUCACUAUUUAUCUUCACUACCUAACACCCCGUUUAUGGGCUUUAUCUCGUACACCAAACUAAUAAAAUAAACUUUUAACAAGAAUAUUUUUUUACAAUCACUAAGAAAAAAAAUAAUAAAACAAAAAUAAUAAUUAAAAAAAUCUUUAAUUGGCGUGUUCUAUGAAAUCACUUAUAUUAUACACCUAUCGACAAAUCUUAUCAUAUCGACAUAUCAAUAUUAUCUAUUAGUUACAAAUUUUAAUUGUCAUUUACGCUCUAUUUUGUAUAAAUGAAGUCAAAAUGUUAAAUUCAUUGUAUAUGAUUUUUUCAUGUUUAGAAUAAAUUAAAAAAUGAAAAUUUAUUUAUUUUUAUUUCUAAAAUACUCUAGCCAUAAUAAUGUUAGAAGGCUAGGAGGAUGAAAAGUUUUGGUUAUAAAAUAUUAGGUUGAUUAAUUUUAUGGAAUUCAUUUAGAAAUUUUACAUUUUUCUUGUAAAAUUUUAUAAAUUUUAAUUUAGUUAUAUUCAAAUACAUAGAAUUGAAUUCGUAUAAUUAAUUCUUCAUUCUUUUUCAUACCAAACACAAAAAUUUAAAUUUAUAAUUAAAUUCUAACAAGUUUUUUAGAAUUCAUUUAUUCCAAACAAGACUUAUAAGUCCAAUUAUAUACAAAUCAACCGCAAAUAUAUUCAAAUCCAAUUAAUACAAACUUAGACUACAAUCAAAUACGGAUAUGUAGGAACUAUUAGAAAAAUCUUUGAAUUAAUAAUAUAUAUUUGAUCUACUACUUUGUAGCAUAAACAGAAAUAUAAUAUCUUAAUUUUGAGAAGAUAUUAUCUCUAAUAAAACUUCAAAAUAAUCGUUGUCUUCAAACUAAAUUAUGGGCUUAUUUUAAAUCAUUAAAAAAAAUUUAAAACUUUACAGGUAAUUUUAAUUAUACGUUAAAUUCAAUUUUCUUCUCUUACUAUUCUGAACUUCAAUUUUAAUUAUAAUAGCACCCUAAUUUUAAAUUGUAUCUAAUUUAAUGAGUAAAAUAAACAUGAAUUUUUAAUUAUGGUUUAUUGAAAUUAUAAUUAAGCUAGAUCUCUUAUACAAAUAAGUUUUAUUCAUUACAGCAUAAUUUUAUUUUUAGGGAAUCAUUACUUGUUAAUAUUAUACAAAUAAAACAAAAAAAAAAAGUAGUUUUUAGGUGAAUAUAUUAUUUUUUAUUUUAAUAUUGGGUACAAAAUAAUAUUUCUUUGAAGGCAAUUGAAAAUAAUAUUUAUUCACUAAAUUGGAUAUAAUUUGAAAUUAUGGUGCUAUUGUAACUAAAAUUGAAAUUUAGAAUACUAGAAGUAGAAAAUUAGAUUUAAAGUAAUUAAAAUUACCUAUAAAAUUUGAAGUUUUUUUAAUGAUUUAGCCCUUAAAAUACUUGGACUUUGAUUUUGUAACAUUAAAAGUGAAUUUGACCACAAUCCGGUGAUGAAAGACACCGGAAAACUGAUGUGGCAAGCAUCAUUUAAAAAAAUAAUUUUUUAUUUCACGUCAUCCUGCUCAAAGUUUUUUGUGUUCAUUUUUUCUAUUUUGUAAGACCUCCAUCUCUCUUCUUCCAAUCGAGGCUUUUCGAUCUUCAUCUCCGUAUAUAAACCCAUAGAUCAAUAAUCAAUUCAUCAAACAACCCAAAAUCAAAACAAACCUCUUUUCAAUUUCCUUCUAUUUAUGAAUUUAAACGACACAAACCCAAGUUUUACAAUUCUCAAUAUGCUAUCAAAAUUAAAAUUAAAAUCAUAUCCAGUAAAUAUUCUUUGCAAAAACACCUUAGAAUUCAAACAAAACGUAGAAAUAAUAAUAUUCAGGUUUCUAAAUUACAUACCUGAAAUUCUCUUUCUCUCUGUACUAGCUCAGAUCCUUAACAUUUAUUUUUUAAUCGAAAUUCCUGCUUGACCACUGUGAAGGGGAUGAGAGAAAAAAAAAAAAAAAACACCUUUUUAAUUGAAUAAAAUGAUCUCUUGUUCAAACCGAAACUUUAUAACAUCGGCAAAUGGUACUUUUUUUUGUACAGCUAACUUAAGCAAACUGGAAUUUUCUCUCACAAAAAAGAAGUCUUUUAUAGGUGAAAAGCAAUUCAUGGAUGGUUAUUAAGGCUUGUGGAGAGUGCAAAUGGCUUGUUGUUUGUUGGUUAUUUAUAAAAUAAGAAAAUAAGGGAGAGAGCAAAGAUCGAAAGAAGAAAAGAAAAAUAGCCAUUGAAGAGAAAAAUGAGAUAUGGAAGAUCAUUUAGAAGAAAGAGAAAAUGGGCACAAGUUCCAUCUCCCGAGACUUUGACGCCGAAUAAAAAUUUAUCUUUUUUAGAUCAUU